AUUGAACGCUGGCGGCAGGCCUAACACAUGCAAGUAGAACGAGUGGCGGACGGGUGAGUAAUGUAUGGGACACUGCCUGUUGGAGGGGGAUAACUACUGGAAACGGUAGCUAAUACCGAAUACCAUCAGUUGGGCCCAGAUGGGAUUGGCAAGUUGGUGGGGUAACGGCUCACAAGGGCGACGAUCCCUAGCUGGUCUGAGAGGAUGACCACCAACACGGGAACUGAGAACCGGCCCAGCUGCCUACGGGAGGCAGCAGUGGGGAACAUUGCACAAGGGGCGAAAGCCUGAUGCACCCAGGCCGCGUGUAUGAAGAAGGCCUUCGGGUGGUAAAGUACUUUCAGCGGGGAGGCGUUACCCGCAGAAGAAGCACCGGCUAACUCCGUGCCAGCAGCCGCGGUAAUAC
rnacentral:rRNA from 1 species